rnacentral:rRNA from 1 species
UUAUCCGGAUUUAUUGGGUGUAAAGGGAGCGUAGGCGGACGUUUAAGUCAGUUGUGAGAGUUUGCGGCUCAACCGUAAAAUUGCAGUUGAUACUGGGUGUCUUGAGUACAGUAGAGGCAGGCGGAAUUCGUGGUGUAGCGGUGAAAUGCUUAGAUAUCACGAAGAACUCCGAUUGCGAAGGCAGCUUGCUGGACUGUAACUGACGCUGAUGCUCGAAAGUGUGGGUAUCAAACAGGAUUAGAUACCCUGGUAGUCCACACAGUAAACGAUGAAUACUCGCUGUUUGCGAUAUACAGUAAGCGGCCAAGCGAAAGCGUUAAGUAUUCCACCUGGGGAGUACGCCGGCAACGGUGAAACUCAA